GGCCCCAAGUGGGCAACGGUAUUAUUUAUCAGAGAAGCUGAUGUCCCAUCGUUUGGCUGUCUCCAGACAUGAUUCAUUAAUGGAGAAAACAAAAGGCAGCAGCAGCCUGACCCGGAAACCAACCUUUUACUGAGGACACACCACCCAGGAUGGUAUCAAUCUCGCAGGACGCCGGACUGCUAUCUCUAGUGACAGUUGAGAAAGCGAACCAGUAACGUCUGGAACACUCAGCCGGAAAUGGCCAGGACUUGAUUAAAAACUGACAGCUUCCCUAAUUUGUGUCCCUGCAUCCAAUUUGGGACCAACCCGAGAAAGCCAAGUAUGCUCCCCUGCCAAUCACCAAAUACCCCGCUUGUAGCUGGUGCCGCUGUGGCUUUCCCACACCAGAGCCUGCAGUUCGCCCCGCCUGCCUCUGAGCCUUUGCCAAAGCGCAGGUUACACGGUCGAUCCCUUUGCUACAGCGACCUCCAAACAGCGUGUGCGCCUCUCAUUUGCCGCCUUCAUUUAUCUCUAUGAUCUUUUCCUUCUCCACCUCUUUCUUUACUGUUCCUUUUUCCAGCCCUUCAAACAAAAACAAGCCAUCAGAGAGAGGUCUGCUUAGCCUUGCCUUCCGUGAUUUUAAUUCCCUGCACAGUCCAAAUUUGCUUUCUUUUGUCCUAGUUGCCAUUGUCAGUCUGCUUUCCAAUCUCUCAUUUCCUCAGCUUCCUAGUAAUUAAUGAUACGCAUUGAGAGAUGACGUUCUCUUGAAUCAGGAAGGGAGGAACCUUGGCCCUUGAAGGCAAGAACCAUACACUAAGAUUCUUUUUAUUUUCUGUACCACUUAGGACAGGGCCUUGCUUUUUACAGGUAUGCAGUAAAUAACUGCUGAAUUUAAAAAACCCUGGUUAUAUAAUAAGUUUACCUACCAUGCACUAAAGUAUCUAUGACAACACAAUUAAAUGUAUCAACAUCACUUGCAAACUGCCGUUUCUUUAUGGUGCAGAAUCUCAGUACUUUACCUUGAGGCUGCCUGGUUAUCAGCCUACUUAUUUACUGUUAUGACAGAAAUAAAUUCCCUUUAAAAGUAUUACUUUAUAAAGUUCUUAUCUGCCAGAUCUCAAUUAAAAUGCAGAAAAUAUGA